GAAAUAUGUACAUAUGUGUCAAAGUAAGCUGCCAAACAAAACGAUAAUUGGCAGAGUUUGGUGAAAUUUUGAGGUAAAGUACCCGCAAAGAAACACAUAUUUGCAAUCAAAAGCAAAAAGCAAUCAGUGUGCCUAGUAUUGCUGGAAGAUUGGUGGCCAAAUGUAGUUUCCUCAGCUUCAAUGUGUACAUAUUUAAAGGCUUUUGGCAGGGUUACGUGAUAGCGAAAUUCGUGGCAUCUUUAUUUAAUGUAACCACAAACGCUGGAGACGUACAUAUGUAUGUGCAUGUUACCGGAAGAACCUUUGCGGGUAUACAAAACAAGGGGCAGUGUCUACUGUGUAAACAAAAAGGGAACCAUCUGGCCAAGACAACAUUAUCGCGCUUGUCUACUGAAUUUUUCUGAUCACUUAGGGCCGUUUUCACCAACUCUGGUAAACACUAAUCGCCAGUUAAACAUCGUUGCCGACGUUACCGACUCAAUGUAAUAUGUAUGGAGUCAGUAAGGUCGGCAACGAUGUUUAACUGGCGAUUGGUGUUAAUCAGAGUUGGUGAAAACGGCCCUCAGGGCCGGUUACUCAAUGUCUGGUUAACACUAAUCUG